rnacentral:rRNA from 1 species
GUAGGUCCCGAGCGUUGUCCGGAUUUAUUGGGCGUAAAGCGAGCGCAGGUGGUUUCUUAAGUCUGAUGUAAAAGGCAGUGGCUCAACCAUUGUGUGCAUUGGAAACUGGGGAACUUGAGUGCAGGAGAGGGGAGUGGAAUUCCAUGUGUAGCGGUGAAAUGCGUAGAUAUAUGGAGGAACACCGGAGGCGAAAGCGGCUCUCUGGCCUGUAACUGACACUGAGGCUCGAAAGCGUGGGGAGCAAA